CCUGACGCAGCCAUGCCGCGUGGAUGAUGAAGGUCUUAGGAUUGUAAAAUCCUUUCACCGGGGACGAUAAUGACGGUACCCGGAGAAGAAGCCCCGGCUAACUUCGUGCCAGCAGCCGCGGUAAUACGAAGGGGGCUAGCGUUGCUCGGAAUUACUGGGCGUAAAGGGCGCGUAGGCGGACAGUUAAGUUGGGGGUGAAAGCCCGGGGCUCAACCUCGGAAUUGCCUUCAAUACUGGCUGUCUUGAGUACGGGAGAGGUGAGUGGAACUCCGAGUGUAGAGGUGAAAUUCGUAGAUAUUCGGAAGAACACCAGUGGCGAAGGCGACUCACUGGCCCGUUACUGACGCUGAGGCACGAAAGCGUGGGUAGCAAACAGGAUUAGAUACCCUGGUAGUCCACGCC
rnacentral:rRNA from 1 species